GACGAACGCUGGCGGCGUGCUUAACACAUGCAAGUCGAACGAUGAAGCCGCUUCGGUGGUGGAUUAGUGGCGAACGGGUGAGUAACACGUGGGCAAUCUGCCCUGCACUCUGGGACAAGCCCUGGAAACGGGGUCUAAUACCGGAUAUGACCAUCGGCCGCAUGGCCUGGUGGUGGAAAGCUCUGGUGGUGCAGGAUGAGCCCGCGGCCUAUCAGCUUGUUGGUGGGGUGAUAGCCUACCAAGGCGACGACGGGUAGCCGGCCUGAGAGGGCGACCGGCCACACUGGGACUGAGACACGGCCCAGACUCCUACGGGAGGCAGCAGUGGGGAAUAUUGCACAAUGGGCGCAAGCCUGAUGCUGCGACGCCGCGUGAGGGAUGACGGCCUUCGGGUUGUAAACCUCUUUCAGCAGGGAAGAAGCUUUCGGGUGACGGUACCUGCAGAAGAAGCACCGGCUAACUACGUGCCAGCCGCCGCCGUAA
rnacentral:rRNA from 1 species